GUUUUUUUAUUUUCUUUUCUGUUUUUUUUUUUUUCCCCCUCAAUGGAAGGUUUGGAAAAUAACCAUGAGAAAGGAAGGACUGUGGCUGUCCAAGGAAUGGCAGGUUGAAGAACCACUGCAGCUUUGAUCUUGACAUACUUUAGAGGACAUGUUGAAUGCAAGCCUUCACUCCUCAGGGACAGGGAGAUUUGCUUCUCAGGGAAUGCUAACCCGAUCACAGCUCCACUCUCCCCAUUCGCCACUCUCUUUCUCGUCAAUGAAGAGGAAGCCCCUGUGCACAACACCCCUCCCGAGGACAUCUAUUCUCAGCAGGACUAGGCACAUCCUCUCCCACUGAGACCCAACUAAGCAAUCUGGGUAAGGGGUAGGGUAUCCAAUGGCAAGGAACAGAGACUGUUACACUUGUUAGGGGAGACCACAUAAAGACCAAGUUGCACAUUGGCUACAGAUGUGUAGGAAGCCUAGGUCCAGCUCCAGCAUGCUCUCUGGUUGGUAACCCAGUUUCUGUGAGUGCCCAUGGUCCCAGGUUAUUUGACUAUGUAGGUCUUCUUGUGGUGUGCUUGCUGCCUUAGGAUUGUCUACUUGUAUCCCCAACUUUUCCACUAGAUUUGCAGAGCUCUAACUGAAGUUUGGCUUUGGAUCUCUGUAUCAGCUUCUAUUCUCUGCUGGAUAAGCCUCUGAGGAGGCAGUUAUGCUAGAUUCUUGUCUGCUAGUAUAACAAAGUAUCAUUAAUAUUUUCAGAGGUUGGCUUUCUCACAUGGGAUGUGUGUUAAGUUGGGAUAGUCAUUGGUUGGCUGUUCCCUCAGUCUCACUCCAUCUUUAUUCCCACACAUCUUGUAGGCAAGACACAUUUUGGGUUGAAGGUUUUAUAGGUGGAAUGAUGUGCCUUCCUUCCUCUGAAAAUCCUGCUACACAGGAAGAGGCCACUUCAGUCUCUAUAUUCCCCUCUGGUAGGAAUCUCAGCUAGACUUACCCUUAUAGACUCCCUGUAUCCUCUCCAUCCCAGAUUUCCAUUUAGUCACCAGAAAUGCCCCAUAGAAUUUCCAUUUUCACUUCAAGCUUUUCCCCAUUCCCCUCUCUCCCCAUACCUGAUCACCACUACCAUCAAACUCUCCUAGCUAUUUCGCCUAACCAGUUCCUUCUUUCCAUUCACCUUCAAUGACUAUUUAGUUUUUCCUUUUGAGUGAGAUUUGCACAACCUUUCUUGAGACAUUCUUAUUACCCAGCUUCUUCUGGGUCUGUGGAUUGUUGCAAGGUUAUCCUGCACUUUACGGCUAAUGUCUACGUAUA